UACGUAGGGCGCGAGCGUUGUCCGGAUUUAUUGGGCGUAAAGAGCUCGUAGGCGGUUCGGUAAGUCGGGUGUGAAACCUCCAGGCUCAACCUGGAGACGCCACCUGAUACUGCUGUGACUCGAGUCCGGUAGGGGAGCGUGGAAUUCCUGGUGUAGCGGUGAAAUGCGCAGAUAUCAGGAGGAACACCAGCGGCGAAGGCGGCGCUCUGGGCCGGAACUGACGCUGAGGAGCGAAAGCGUGGGUAGCAAACAGG
rnacentral:rRNA from 1 species